rnacentral:rRNA from 1 species
UACGGAGGGUGCGAGCGUUUGUCCGGAAUUACUGGGCGUAAAGAGCUCGUAGGUGGUUUGUCGCGUUGUUCGUGAAAACUCACAGCUCAACUGUGGGCGUGCGGGCGAUACGGGCAGACUGGAGUACUGCAGGGGAGACUGGAAUUCCUGGUGUAGCGGUGGAAUGCGCAGAUAUCAGGGAGGAACACCGGGUGGGCGAAGGC